GACUUGUUUACAUGGGUGGGCCUCUCUGACAAUCAGACUGUUGAUACUCCUCUUAAAACCAAUGCAUGAUAUUCUCGUACUGAUGGUGUUCCUUUGUCCGAUCUGAAUCUUUAUCGUACUGUUGUGGAAAGUUUGGUUUAAAUCACAGUUACUCAUCCAGAUAUUGCUCAUGUUGUUCAUGUUGUCAGUUAGUUUGUUACAGCUCCUACCUCUGUUCAUUGAGGAGCUGUUCUUCGUAUUCUGAUUUAUCUUCUUGGCACUCAGUUCCAGACUCUCUUGUUUCCCUCGACAUCUUCUCUUGAGUUACGUGCCUAUAGUGAUGCUGAUUGGGAUGGUAAUUGUCAUGAUCAUAAGUCCACCACUAGAUUUUGCGUAUUUCUUGGAGAGUCUCUUAUUUCAUGGAAGAGCAAGAAACAGGAUGUUGUCUCUAGAUCUUCCACGGAGGCUGAAUACCGUGCUAUGGUUGUAACUACAUGUGAGAUUAUUUGGUUACGGUGGCUGCUUGCAGAUAUGGGAGUUUACAUUUCUUCAUCUACUCCCUUGUAUUGUGAUAACAAAAUUAUGAUACAAAUUGCAAAGAAUUAUGUUUUUCAUGAGCGGGCGAAGCACAUUGAGAUUGAUUGUCACUUUAUCCGUCAUCACCUGCAGCUCGGGACCAUUUCGCUUCCAUUUGUUUCAUCAACCUUGCAGCUUGCAGAUAUUUUUAUGAAGGCUUUAUCGGCUUCUCGGUUUCGGUUCUUUUGUGACAAACCCUCAAUGCUAAUUGUUGUGGCAUUGUGAGUUUGAGGGGGGACGUUAGUCUAUAUAUUAUUAGCCUGCUUGUUUAUGGGACCUUUAGUCUUUAGCUCAUUAGGGUUUCUGUCUAGCGAGUAUUUAUAACCGCUUUAUUCUUUGUAGUCCUUAUGCUUUUCUUUGAGAACACUUGUAAUUUCUCUUUAUCAUAAUCAUAUGACAAUGUUAUCAUGGGACACAUACCUUGCGGUUAAGAGUUUUUGGAGAGUAUAUUUCUAGGGAAUGCAAAAGUGAGUAAUGUUCAAAUUAUGUGGAGAACAUAUUUAUGCAGAAUGUGAUUAUUUAAGGCAUCAAGAGUUAAAAUGUCCUUAUGCUUUUCUUUGAGAACACUUGUAAUUUCUCUUUAUCAUAAUCAUAUGACAAUGUUAUCAUGGGACACAUACCUUGCGGUUAAGAGUUUUUGGAGAGUAUAUUUCUAGGGAAUGCAAAAGUGAGUAAUGUUCAAAUUAUGUGGAGAACAUAUUUA
rnacentral:lncRNA from 1 species